AAAUAAAGCUCAUAUAUUAAUCUAUAUAUGAAUCUAUUUAAAACCCAAAAAACAUCACAUACUGAUAUAGACGUAAUAAAAUGAUGUCCUUUGUCUAGAAAAGUUCGGCCCACUGUAGCCAGGUUUGGGGAUACAGCCCAAGUAGGCCCGCCCAUCUAAAUUUGGCCCGCACUAGUAUUGGCUUGAGAUUCAAUGUUUUUGGGCCUGAUGCUUGUUAUAAAAGUAAAUUAGUCGAUAUAGCGGAACGACGACUAACCUUCUUGAUCGAUUUAGUCAUUGAUCACCUAAGACACGUCAGAUAACGACACAGGAACACACGAUAUUUGUUAACAAGGUUCAACCGAAGCCUACUUCCCCAGGGCUCUGAUUAUGGGCACUCCUCUCAAACCAAUAUAGCUCCUAGUCGCUACGAGUCCAUGGCCACGUCGCCAUCAUCUCCCUGCGUGUCUACGCUAUAUUGUAGUCGCCAUAGUUAUAUUGUGGUGCCCCCCUCUCUAUUUAAGAGAGUUACCAGGUUACAGAGCUCGACUCUAACUCCACCCCCUACCACCUAUUAUAACUCCAAGUCCAACUAUAGCCAAAUAGGACUAGUAUAUAUUCGACAUCUAUUCUAACAAUAUUAAUAAAACGUGUUCAACGAAUUAAGAGGCUGGCAACCCUGGUGAGUAUUGCCUAGCAUAUAUAGAGUUUACCCUUGUAGAGAAGCAAACUCAGCAUGUAACAGGCUUCUUGGCUUUUGCUGCCUUGAAGAGUUGAAGUAUAUAUGAAAGCUAGGGCGCUUGAGGCCUAUAUAUACAUCAUAUGCUGCGUCACAACAUGAAUAUCCGGCUUAUAAUAUAUAUAGGUGUUGCUAAUUGAACAAAUGCAUGAUUUAUAUAGGAGUUGGAGGCACGGGGAAAUAUACUACUAGUCGACAUGAUUGAUGUAGUCCCAUAGAGGUUUCAGGAGCAACACAAAAUAGAUCAGUUGCAAGGUAAUGGUACAGCCACAGCGUGCUUGACAGCAUCGCCUGGCUCGUCGCCAGCCAUAGCUAUGAAGCUGACCCGAUUCGUCGACGACGAGAGGAAGAGCUCGAUGAUGCAAUCUCCUGAAGAAAAUUGUCAUCUCAGUUGUCUAGAUCAGUACGGGACAAAUGAACAAGCCCAAGUAGGCUCAUCUAAAUUUUUGGAUCGCCAAAAUGGGCUAAUUGGGCUACUUGUGGAGUUAGAUCGUGUUAAUUAGGCGCUUGAGGCUACUAGAGUUUUCUUGGAGUUAGAUCGUGUAUGUCGCUUUGCUCAUAAUAUGCUCGUGCUAUUUAUAAUUAAUCUGUUCAUACA